AUGAAGCUGGAUUCGCUAGUAAUCGCGCAUCAGCCACGGCGCGGUGAAUACGUUCCCGGGCCUUGUACACACCGCCCGUCAAGCCAUGGAAGCCCGGGGGGUGCCUGAAGUGCGCUGCCGCAAGGAGCGUCCUAGGGUAAAACCGGUGACUGGGGCUAAGUCGUAACAAGGUAAC
rnacentral:rRNA from 1 species